rnacentral:rRNA from 1 species
UACGUAGGGUGCAAGCGUUGUCCGGAAUUAUUGGGCGUAAAGAGCUCGUAGGCGGUUUGUCGCGUCUGCUGUGAAAACCCGAGGCUCAACCCCGGGCCGCAGUGGGUACGGGCAGACUAGAGUGCGGUAGGGGAGACUGGAAUUCCUGGUGUAGCGGUGAAAUGCGCAGAUAUCAGGAGGAACACCGGUGGCGAAGGCGGGUCUCUGGGCCGUAACUGACGCUGAGGCGCGGACAGCGUGGGGAGCAAACAGG